rnacentral:ncRNA from 2 species
CCAGUCCUGUCAGGAGAGAGCCUCCCCCGCGGAGGCCGCCGAAGGCGCAGGACGGCUGAUUGCAGCGGUCUGAACGCUCAGGCAAAAGGACUGACAUCCGUUG